CUUCUUUCUUCUACAGCGACUCUUGAACUUCGUCUCUAUCUCUGAAACGGUCCAAGUUAUGUCUUCGUCGUCUUUAAUCCUCUUAAUUCAAUCAACCACAAUGAGGUCUUCAAUGCAUGGUUUAGAUCGGUGGGUCGGUGUAUCUGCGAGUAUAAAUAGAAUCAAUCUUCAGGAAAGUCGUCAAUUGAUUCCGCCAUGGUGGAGAUCGCUCCUCCUGCGUUUGCGUCGGGUUUGACAACUCUAGAAAUCCAAAAAGAAACAGAGUUCUUAAAACUCAAGAGUGUAGGCUUCUAUGAAAGUAACGAUUGUACAUCGGAAUGACAUAAACAGAUGCUGGAGCGUACCUAGAAAGAGUUAGACAACUCUUUAGUCAGGAAUCCGGAGUAGUUAUACCAAGACCUAAGCUUUUACCAGGCUCGGUAUGGUCUCAUUCUCAACCGACAUUGGCCUCCCACUUUGUCAUAAACAGCUCCAUGGGCAUACUCAUACCUGCAAAUUUGAUCACUCGAUGAGCUCUUCUUCUACACUAAGCUACAGCUCGACGGUUUCUUCACUCACCGACAUGCCCCUCUCGCCUUACCCUCUUUGAGUCCUCAUUGCUCAGCACAUUAGCCCCAUCAUCAUCAUCCUCAGAUGAAAAAGCACCGAGCUUCACUCUUCAAGCUCCAUUAAACUCAAUGAGGACGCAACCCUUAUACAAAACGCAACGUUUUCUUUCCGAUUUGAAGUCCUCCUUCCACAAUUGAGGUCAGAUUGAUUCUGGGAAGGCGAAAGAGAAUGCUUUCUUUAUCAUCAAGACCGUCAAGCGUUGAUGGAUUUGGUGAACAAAUCAGAUGAGAGGGUGAGAAAAGAGGAAUCUAGGAUUUGAGAGUUAAAGGAACAAGUGAGAAACAUGUCUGAUGUAAUGAAGAAGCGUCGAGUGGAAUGAGACAAGAGAUUCACAUUGUUACAACAAGAGUAGUUUUUGUUGAUUCAGUUUCAGUGAAAAUUAAGUUAUUGUUUAGAGAAAACAGGAGUGGAAUGUUUUGAGGGACAAUUGUCGAAACAACAUGUUCACAUUUUCGAAGUUUCAUCUUUUCCUUCAUUUUACCUUCAUAAACUUUGAUAUAAAUUUUACAAUUUUGCAGAUUCUUCAAGAA